UACGAAGGGGGCUAGCGUUGCUCGGAAUCACUGGGCGUAAAGCGCACGUAGGCGGAUUGUUAAGUCAGGGUGAAAUCCUGGAGCUCAACUCCAGAACUGCCUUUGAUACUGGCGAUCUUGAGUUCGGGAGAGGUGAGUGGAACUGCGAGUGUAGAGGUGAAAUUCGUAGAUAUUCGCAAGAACACCAGUGGCGAAGGCGGCUCACUGGCCCGGUACUGACGCUGAGGUGCGAAAGCGUGGGGAGCAAACAGG
rnacentral:rRNA from 1 species